rnacentral:rRNA from 1 species
UACGAAGGGUGCAAGCGUUAAUCGGAAUUACUGGGCGUAAAGCGUGCGUAGGCGGUUGGUUAAGUCUGUCGUGAAAGCCCUGGGCUCAACCUGGGAAUGGCGAUGGAUACUGGCUAGCUAGAGUGUGGUAGAGGAUGGCGGAAUUCCCGGUGUAGCGGUGAAAUGCGUAGAGAUCGGGAGGAACAUCCGUGGCGAAGGCGGCCAUCUGGAUCAACACUGACGCUGAGGCACGAAAGCGUGGGGAGCAAACAGG